AUGUUUUCCAGAGUGUUUGUGAUAACCCAUCUUUGUUGUCUGUCUGUCUGCCGUGGAUAAACUGAUAAAGUCCUGCAUGUGCCAAAGGCAAACUGUCUGAAUCCUGAGUUACUUAGAAAAUUCAAAAUACAUUCAGCAUUGAGAAAUGUGUCCAAACAUGUUCUGUGGUUCUACAAAGCCA